rfam:Steinernema glaseri strain NC unplaced genomic scaffold GLAS_821, whole genome shotgun sequence.
AGCUUUGCGCAGAGGCGAUAACGUGACCAAUGAGGCUCAGCCGAGGUGCGUUUAUUGCUGGUUGAAAACUUUCACCCAAUUGCCCGCCACAGCCUCUGAAACACGAGUGCUGUAGGCAAUUUUUGGAAACCCUCAGGGGU